UGGGGUAUAUUGCACAAUGGAGGGAACUCUGAUGCAGCGACGCCGCGUGAACGAAGAAGGCUUUCGAGUCGUAAAGUUCUUUUAUAUGGGAAGAUAAUGACGGUACCAUAAGAAAAAGCCCCGGCUAACUACGUGCCAGCAGCCGCGGUAAUACGUAGGGGGCUAGCGUUGUCCGGAAUCACUGGGCGUAAAGGGUUCGCAGGCGGAAAUGCAAGUCAGGUGUAAAAGGCAGUAGCUUAACUACUGUAAGCAUUUGAAACUGCAUAUCUUGAGAAGAGUAGAGGUAAGUGGAAUUUUUAGUGUAGCGGUGAAAUGCGUAGAUAUUAAAAAGAAUACCGGUGGCGAAGGCGGCUUACUGGGCUCAUUCUGACGCUGAGGAACGAAAGAGUGGGUAGCAAACAGG
rnacentral:rRNA from 1 species